rnacentral:rRNA from 1 species
CCUACGGGUGGCAGCAGUGAGGAAUAUUGGUCAAUGGCCGCUAGCCUGAACCAGCCAAGUAGCGUGAAGGAUGACUGCUCUAUGGGUUGUAAACUUCUUUUAUAUGGGAAUAAAGUUCUCUACGUAUACUUCUUUGCAUGUACCCUAUGAAUAAGGAUCGGCUAACUCCGUGCCAGCAGCCGCGGUAAUACGGAGGAUGCGAGCGUUAUCCGGAUUUAUUGGGUUUAAAGGGGUCGUAGGCGGGUUGUUAAGUCAGUUGUGAAAGUUUGGGGCUCAACCUUAAAAUUGCAUUUGAUACGGGCAUCCUUGAGUACAGAAGAGGUAGGCGGAAUACGUGAAGUAGCGGUGAAAUGCUUAGAUAUAACGAAGAACUCCGAUAGCGAAGGCAGCCUGCUAGACUGUGACUGACGCUGAUGCACGAGAGUGUGGGUAGCAAACAGGAUUAGAUACCCUAGUAGUC